AAUAAACGAAUUUCUGAGUUUCUGGAUAAAAUUUUUAACUCUUCGUCUUAUUUAAAUUUUUUUACAAUUAGUAUUUUUAUGUUAUUAUAUGAUAAACCAUGAAAAGUAUUUACAUGUGACUAACUUUUUUUUAAUAUUUUAAUAAAUUUUAAAAUAAGACGUACAGUCGAACGCUUCAUACACAAAACUUAGA
rnacentral:pre_miRNA from 1 species